CACAGCUCUGCUCCUAACUCCUGCCCGCCCCGCCCGUCCAUCUGUCCCGCUGCCCCGCGGCCCAUCCAAGGGGCCACUCCACCUCGGACCCAAGUUAACCUCCAUCUGGUUUAUUUGGCCAUGCUAUGCUUUCUUCCCAUUCCCCUGCUGUCUAUUCUAAGCCCCCAGACUCAAGCCUCUAGACUCUUGGAUGAAAAAGUGAGAAGAAAACAUUUUCUGACUUACUCUUUUGGAAUCUCCUCCAUUAUUACCCAGGCUUUGCUUUAAGUUGCACUUUAAAUCACACUGUCCUAUUAAUGCGAUCUGGCAUCUUCUCCCACAAGCCCCCUACAGGGAACAACUACCCCCUACCUUAACUCUAAAUGGUUCUUUAGACUAUAGUCUGUCUCCUCUGACCUGAAAUCCUCUUUUAGGCCAUAGGCCAAGCUUUAGAAGCAGCCAGGUCUGGUGAGAAAUGGGCCCCCAUACCAACUGUGGACUUGGAAUAUCAGCAGAGUAGUAGGCACAGGUGUAUAAAGGGGAGAUUUCGGUAGGCGCAGGUGUAAAAAGGGGAGAUUUCAGAAGACAGGCAAAACAACUGAUGGGGGAAGAUACCUGGGGUGUGAAGAUGAGAAAGAAAUGAUGCUGAGGGACCUAGUGAAAUCAAUGAAACUCUUGAGUCUUGCUUAGGCUCGCAAACAAGAAGUGGGGAGGCUUGGGAAAUUAGGAUAUGACAUAUAUGAAAGGUUUAUCUAAGAAGAAAGAAACAGAGAUAAUAUAUAUAUAGAAAGAUGUAUAUAGAUGUAUAUAUGCCCAAAUAUAUUGAAUGUACAGAAAGGAAAUAUUCAGAGACUUUAGCAUUGGGGGCAGAUAUCUUGGCCUGGUUAUGGGGUAGGACACCCAGAUUUUCAGACUUACAAUCAGUGGUCCUGGUUUCAACAUGGAAGUGAGAUAGCUGAUGAAGGAUUUCAAGUCUGGAAAUGGGAAAGGGAGGGGUAGAAGUUCCUUUUCAGAAAUAAAGAGGCAUUCAUGAAGGCUUUUGUUGAAUCCUAUGCUACUGAUAGGACCAGGAAGAGAGGAACUCGGAGGACAAUAGGGAGGGGAAGUCUUGGAAAAUCUACCACUUACACUGUGUGCCCCCAUCCCCAGCAGCGUCCUGCCACUGUAGCGCCUUUUUAAAAUAAAUAAAAUAAAAUAAAAUAAAAUAAAAUAAAGCACCA
rnacentral:sRNA from 1 species